ACAAGGGGCAACGCUGAGACUGAGGAGGACGAAGCUGACAGGCAGGGCCACCCCCUGGACUGGCAGGCAGGCGGGGGCUGGCUGAAGGAUGCUCUCCAGAGAACAGAAAACUAUCCGAGUGAAACUCUGGGGCCCUCUGCUGGCAUGCAGAGUUUUAACAUGGCACACUGCGCAUGCCAGUCUUAACAGACCACUUAUUUCUGCACUCCGCUGAAAUAUAUACACCGGAAAACUCUAACAGGGGCAGCAAAUGAGAAUGUGUGGAGGAGAGAAAGGAAGGCUGGAUCUUCUGCACCAUCACACUGCAAACUGGAGCUGGCCUUGUGACCGACAGCCUUCUUUCCCCACUCUCAUCCGUUCCAGGUGAUACAUUGCAAACUCCCUCCCAGGCAGCCUCACACACCCCUUCCGCAAGCCGCAGAGGAACCAGGGCAACUCACAUGUCGCGAAAUGAAGCAAGACAUGGGCCCAAUUUCAGUGAAGAGUCCGACCUAGUGAAAUAAUAACAGCAUCACUUGCAAGCGGCCCCUUCUGGAAAGCAUCUCAGCAUUCGUACAGGGAACACCAGGGUAGACCUUUCCCCUCAAAGGAUCCUGGGAAUUGUGGUUCAAGGGUGCCGAGCGUUUCAUAAUCAGCCCCUCUUCCCAGAGAACUCUGGGAAUUGUAGCUCUGUGAGGGGAACAGGAGAAUCUCCUAACAACUCUCAGCACCCUUCACAAACUACACUUCCCAGGAUCCUGCGGGGGAAGCUAUGACUGUUGUGAUACGAGACUGCUUUAAAUGGACAGUGCAAAUGCAGCCCUACUUAAAUGAGAACUGUUUCUAAAUGUACAUAUACAUGUGUAUACAUAUUGAUUCAUGUGUGCAAAUUUUAUGCAAAUCUGUAUUUUUGUCUUUUUAAGA